CUUGUCUCUUAUACCAUUCAUGGAAUACAAAUCAUCACACAGUGCACAAGGGAACAAGGGAAAUCAAUAACAAUGCAGAAUGAAGUGUAACAGCUACAGAGAGAGUGCAGUACAGCACAGUGGAAAAGAGAGAAUGUUCAGACUGAGAGAGGCCUUGAUUAUGCUAGCCACCUUCCUGGGGCAGCAAGAAGAAUAGACAGAAUCCAUACAGCCAUAAUUCAUUGAUGCCCUCAACAUCAUACCUGCCAAUCUGCAACUGUGCUACAAGUUCAUCUACCUUACAAGAUCUUAAGAGGAAUAGAUAGAGUGGACAGCCAACACCUCUUCCCCAGGGCACCACUGCUCAAUACGAGAAGACAUGGCUUUAAGGCCGAUCGGGCACUUUGCUGUCUCUGAGAGGGUUCCACGAGGUGUAUGAAGGCCGGGAAGCAAGGAGACAGGGUAUGGGCCCAUGAUCGACUCUGUCUCUUACCAAUCUCAUUGAUUAAAGUGCUGAGAGAGAUUGAGGUCAUCGAGCUGGGUGUGGAGGACGAGCGGCUGUUCAGUGGUGUCUACCAGUCUCUCGUUUGCUGCCACCAGAGAAGGUGUCCGCAUGUGGCCGUCUCUCGCACACUGCUCCCGAGGGAAGGUCCUUGCAUUCAACUGAUCUAGUUUUGGUUCCUUUUUUUUGUUAAUACAGCUGGGCAUUUUUUCAAUCAGGAGGCCUGCAGAUGAUGAACUGAUCUGAAAUAUGCCUUUUGUGUUUUGUAUUCUGUGUUUUUGAUUGGUAACGUCUGUGCAGUUUUGUUUUUGUGCAUGGAGGGGAGGUGGGUUUUGAUGUUUCUCUUUGAACGAAUUGGUUCCACAAUUCUUCUUCGUGUUGUGACGUU